rnacentral:lncRNA from 1 species
GAGACAAGCACUGAACAGCAGCAGAAAGCCGGUGACUAUUAACACACACUUCUUGACUUAUAUAUGCAACUGUCAGAUGGGACGAUUCAUCCACUUUGUUCAGAGCCAAAAUAUCCAGCUAUGGAGAGUGCGCCUGGGAAGCCUCUACAUUGGUGUGCAUUUCAAUAAUCUCAAAAACAUCUGCAGUACCCUUCUCCACAGACUCUUCUGACGCAGUUUGAAAAUGUUAUAUAGGUGGGAAAUUUCCGUAGCAGAAUGAAGUAUAAAUACUUAUAAACUCACAAUGAGGACGUGAGGCAAAGCGAUUCAAUCCUACAGUUGGCACUAAAACUUUGGUCCCCUGGAGCAAUUCUGUCAUCUUGACCUGAAUAUGGUUCUUCUAUAUACAUUCUGAAGAAUGGCAGUGUGUGACAGGCUUAUGUCGCUCAUGGGGCCUUUAGUUUAUGCAUUCCUGGCACAGCUCUUGCAGUAGCUCAAAACUCCUGGCAGGCUAAGAUACAGAAUGCUUCCAUUGUUUCUGUAUUCCAUCAGAGAUCUAUGUAGGCUGCAGGAAGUUUAAGGGCAGUCCACUGCAUGCAGGAAGAUGACAAAAGGAUGCAAGGUUAUGCAGAAGAGCCAAUUGCUACAUAGCAGGUGAAUUCAUGUGGAAUUAAACUGUGCGUGUAAGGAGCUGAGCCAGGGACCUGACAUAGUACUUAAGUGUUCAAUCAAUAUUAGUUCCUGUCAUGGGUGUUUAUCACUAGGCAUCAACAGGCCUAGGACAGGCUUCACUUUGCCCAGUUCGCUCUGCCCACUCUAUCUUCAGGAAACCCUUCCCACCACUCACUGCCAAGUCUCCCGAGACAAACACACAUAUAAAUAGAGCGAUAUAUAUUUUUAUUUCUCAGAACUGUCACAUUUUGCUGAGCUCAUAACAGAAGUGAGCAAAUAGUGCUGUCGUCCUCUGUAAUAAAUCCUAUCACUCAGAGCAGCUUCAUCUCCCUGUCUUCCCAGGCUCCCAGGACUCAGAUAUGAAUACACAUGCUCUUCUGUCCUUAAAUUACAUCUGUACUAACCUGAUAUAGUCUCCAGGCCUCCCUUUUCUGGGCAACAUGGUAGAAUUCUUGGGCCAGAGGAAUCUCCGUCAACUGUUUAUCUUUCUGAGCAAUUAUUUGCUACUUGAGAAAAAAAAAAGAAGUUACUAGUUUAAAUAAAAAAUAAAAA